rnacentral:tRNA from 1 species
GGGGGUUUUCCCGAGCGGUCAAAGGGGGCAGACUGUAAAUCUGUUAGCUCAGCUUUCGGAGGUUCGAAUCCUUCAACCCCCA